CCAACGGAUUACGAUCACAAUUCUCAUUAUCCACAGCUUCCUUGUACAGUUUCAUAUCAGCACAAACCCCACGUCCAUCACCCUCCUUGUCUUCUCAGUGACCAUAAACGACCCUCACUCCACAGCAGUCACGACUAGAUUUCUGUUAAAACAUGUCAACGCCUUCCUUCGGUCUAUAUAUCUUCCCUUCCUCUGCAAAUUCUCUACAAGAUUUCUCCCUCACACAAACAAGACCUCACGACCAGCCAGACCUUCAACCGCUGCCCCAAAAAAAAAAAAAAAAAAACUCGCAGCAACUCUCCCCUUAUAAUUUGUCCAUCCUUGGCCACCGGCAUACAUCAAACAACCACCAAUGUGAAACCAAGCAACUCGAGACACCCAUUAUUUUCCACAACCAAUCUCACGACAAACCACCGUAACUCUCUACCAACAAAUGAAGACAACACAAAUUUCUCCAGCUAAGCCACCUUGCCAAAAGACGCCCAGAACAAGCCGGCCAAUCCUUCCCUUCGCCAUCUUACCAUUUCGAUCCUGCACUGAUUGCCUUCAGUUCAGCAGUAGAAAAGGCAGACUUGGUCUUCUCAGAUACGUGGAACCGCUCAUCCAUCUCUCUCACCUUUUCAUUGACUAUAGCUGUUCCAAUGCUUAGCUUCUCACUCAGGCCCAUUUUACGAUCAAUGGAAGCAACUGUGGCAGAUGCAUUUGAUGUCAAGUGAUGCUGUUCGUCAAAGGCUUUAGCCUUGCUAAUGGCAUCCUUUCCCAAGACAAAACCCUUGGCAAGCAUGGUGCUCACCACAUCUUCAGCCUUCUGAACAGCUGAACCGGUGGCAAUUGGCCUUUUGUCCUUCAACAAAGAAUACAUAUGAAGUUCAGGAAGAAGGAAAUGCUUUUAGAAACUUUUUUAUUUUUAGUUCAGUUUCAAGCUCGCACUUUGUUUAAAGUAUGUUUAUUGUAGAAGCAAGAAAUAUUUACAGAAAGCAGAAGCAUUUUGUUUUCUUGAAAUCAAAUAUGCUAUGAAUAGCCAUUACACGCAUUAAAGCAUCUG